UUCGUCCAACAUGGACUGCUGGACGUGAGGUUCUAAAAAACAAAAUUGAUCAACCCAUUAUUUUUAUUUAUUUUUUAUUAUUAUUAUUAUUAUCUACUCUUUUCUCUCUAUUUUCUUUUCUCAUUUAAUAAACCUAAACCUAAAAAAACCCUUCUCCCCUCUUCUCAUCUACUCAGUCGCUCACUGCAACUUAUUUUCCAGAUCUCUCAUCUCAUCACUUCUUAUUUGCAGGCUGUGGCCGGCGGGGACAGGACGAGGACGUUCACAACGUUCGACGGUGACGGGAAAGGAAGCCCGUGGCCCAGAUCUGGGAUCUCAGCGGAGCUGCGUAGAUCUGCACCGCCUCUCUAACCUUUUCUCGUUCUAGCUCCGACUAGCGAGAUGGCCACGACGAUGACGGUGAUGAUGCAUGAGAAACGAGGAAUCUUGCACCACCGUGGUGCUCGCAGACCUCGAAAAAACUAGACAUUGGAGGAUUGGCUGAAUUCCUCAAAUCAUUGAUCGAAGAAAUCUUGAAAGCAAAUAAAUUAGCAGAAGGGAGGCGAUAUAAUUUUUGUAAUUAUAUUAUAUUAUUAUUAUUAUAUUAUUUUUGUAAUUAAUUUGUAUAUAUUUUUGGUAUAUUUGGAUAUGUAAUUUUUUUUUUUUAAUUUAAAAUUUUGUAGUUUGUUCUGUAUAUAUUUUUUUUAAGUGAUAAUAUUGUGUUUUGAUCUACUAAGUA